rnacentral:lncRNA from 1 species
CUCAUGUAUCACAUAAUUUACUGAUUUAACACAGAUGAUUCUUUUAAAGUAUAAGCAAACCAUAAAGCACAGUUAAUGUACUUUUAGAAAUGUUAUUAACUUAUUUUACACCCUUAUCAUUACAAUUUGAAUUUUAUACUGUUAGCAACAGAGAACCAUUGAACGAUGGAAGACCAAACUAAGAUAAUUGUGCUUUGGACAGAAAGAAGUGGGAGAAUUGAUAAGCAUUGUUGUGUUGAUUUUUCUGCUCUGCUGGUGGAAUUGGCAAUAUCGCCCUGCAUUUCUAAU